GAUGAACGCUGGCGGCGUGCCUAAUACAUGCAAGUCGAGCGAACGGACGAGAAGCUUGCUUCUCUGAUGUUAGCGGCGGACGGGUGAGUAACACGUGGAUAACCUACCUAUAAGACUGGGAUAACUUCGGGAAACCGGAGCUAAUACCGGAUAAUAUUUUGAACCGCAUGGUUCAAAAGUGAAAGACGGUCUUGCUGUCACUUAUAGAUGGAUCCGCGCUGCAUUAGCUAGUUGGUAAGGUAACGGCUUACCAAGGCAACGAUGCAUAGCCGACCUGAGAGGGUGAUCGGCCACACUGGAACUGAGACACGGUCCAGACUCCUACGGGAGGCAGCAGUAGGGAAUCUUCCGCAAUGGGCGAAAGCCUGACGGAGCAACGCCGCGUGAGUGAUGAAGGUCUUCGGAUCGUAAAACUCUGUUAUUAGGGAAGAACAUAUGUGUAAGUAACUGUGCACAUCUUGACGGUACCUAAUCAGAAAGCCACGGCUAACUACGUGCCAGCAGCCGCGGUAAUACGUAGGUGGCAAGCGUUAUCCGGAAUUAUUGGGCGUAAAGCGCGCGUAGGCGGUUUUUUAAGUCUGAUGUGAAAGCCCGCGGCUCAACCGUGGAGGGUCAUUGGAAACUGGAAAACUUGAGUGCAGAAGAGGAAAGUGGAAUUCCAUGUGUAGCGGUGAAAUGCGCAGAGAUAUGGAGGAACACCAGUGGCGAAGGCGACUUUCUGGUCUGUAACUGACGCUGAUGUGCGAAAGCGUGGGGAUCAAACAGGAUUAGAUACCCUGGUAGUCCACGCCGUAAACGAUGAGUGCUAAGUGUUAGGGGGUUUCCGCCCCUUAGUGCUGCAGCUAACGCAUUAAGCACUCCGCCUGGGGAGUACGACCGCAAGGUUGAAACUCAAAGGAAUUGACGGGGACCCGCACAAGCGGUGGAGCAUGUGGUUUAAUUCGAAGCAACGCGAAGAACCUUACCAAAUCUUGACAUCCUUUGACAACUCUAGAGAUAGAGCUUUCCCCUUCGGGGGACAAAGUGACAGGUGGUGCAUGGUUGUCGUCAGCUCGUGUCGUGAGAUGUUGGGUUAAGUCCCGCAACGAGCGCAACCCUUAAGCUUAGUUGCCAUCAUUAAGUUGGGCACUCUAAGUUGACUGCCGGUGACAAACCGGAGGAAGGUGGGGAUGACGUCAAAUCAUCAUGCCCCUUAUGAUUUGGGCUACACACGUGCUACAAUGGACAAUACAAAGGGCAGCGAAGCCGUGAGGUCAAGCAAAUCCCAUAAAGUUGUUCUCAGUUCGGAUUGUAGUCUGCAACUCGACUACAUGAAGCUGGAAUCGCUAGUAAUCGUAGAUCAGCAUGCUACGGUGAAUACGUUCCCGGGUCU
rnacentral:rRNA from 1 species